rnacentral:lncRNA from 1 species
UGAUAUAUAUGUGCACUCUAGGUACCUCUUGAUCUCAUUGUUUUCUAUUAGCGUUGUGGCUUGGUCAUCACCUUUCUUUAUGUAUUUAAAAAGGUAUUUUAUUGAUAGAGAUCUGUUGCACGCCUCGACAUUUAUGUGUGCUUGAUAUUUGACCAGUAUAUUUCUAUUGUAUGGGACUACGUAUCUGUUGUCCAACUUUACUUUCCCUUUCUGUAUGUAUCUUCCAUUGUCUCGUCUUCUAUAUACUGGGUAUCCAUCUUCAUCGACGGUGGUAUUGCUGUUAUAUAAUUUUGGGAACUUUCUUAUACAUCUGUUAUCGACCAUGCAUGGUGACUUUGUGUUGGCUGCAUCACAUGGCCCAUGUAUCAUGUAGUUUUCAACAGCUGCAUAUCCUUCUGGAUCAAUGUCCUUGUCUGGGAUCUCUGCACAACGUCAUGCAUGGUGACUUUUCUUUUUUGUCGAGGAAUAUGACUAUGUGGGCAUGUGGGAGGCCCCUUUUUUGGAACUCUAUUGUGUAUAUAACUACAAUUUAGAAAAUAACCAUUAGUUAUUUUGGUAUAGAAAAUUAAAUAACAGGAGUGAUCAAGUCAGUAGGGUAUAUUACUUGCAAGUGUUUUUCCAAAGUAUCCCCUUUCUCUUAUGUCUCUCAUGAACUCCUUGAGCUUUAUGUGGAACACUCGAUCAACAAUAUCAGGUCUUUCAUAUGCUGUUUGGCCUACUUCCUGUAGCAUAGCUUGAAUCUCCGGCCAAGCUGUGUUGCACGUGAAUGUCACAAAUAGGUCUGGGUAUCCAGCCCACCGACAUAUUGCCAUAGCAUCUUGGAAGUUUUGUGCUUUGUAUCUAGGGCUAUCUGUGAAGGUGGAUGGCAGUAGUAUCCUCUUUCCUACUUGGUCAGCCCUUGUAUCUCCUCUAUCUAUUGUGUCCUGCAAGCCAGCAUAUAAUUCCGUUCUUAGGUUUCCUUGAUGUGUUUUGAUCCAGUCUAGCCUAUACUGCAAAAUGCAUGCAAGGGCAUCCACAAUGAACUGCAAUGUAAGCUUUUCACACAUCAGCAAGUGCAUCGAUUGGUUAGUACGUUGUUGUAUACGAUACGCAUAGUAUUCCAGCAUUGUUACAUGCUUUCUCUUGCAUUUUGCACCUUCUUUUAAUAUGUAGGGUAUAUUUUCUCUGUACCCAUCUUCUCCAUAGGGGAACAAUAGUGGAUACUGCAUAGCCAUGAAUUUUGGAUGCUUCUGUGAUAUUCUUCUCGGCUUUGUGUCUCUGUACUGAACAAUGAUAUCCCGUCCUUUUCUAUUUUCUGCCGUAUCAUUCACAAUCAAGGCUGCAACUUCAGUUGCAGAUGGCAUGUCAUUCCGUCUUCCAUCUGUGCGUCGCUUAUUGAUUAGUUUUAAUCUCACGUUGUGAUAGUCACCUUCUUCGAAUCUGUCCCUUGCCAUUCUGAAUUUUUUUGCAAGUAUAUUAUCUCUAUCCAGCAUAUUUUUAAGGCCCUCGACGAUGUGAGGAUCUAUUGACUCCCUUUUAUCUUCUGAUGUUGACGCAUUAAUCCUGUUUUUUACCUCAUUUUCGGUGUCAUAGAUAUACAACUGUGCCCAGCGUGGUUUAUCUUCACCUUCAGGUAGUAGAUUACCUAUUCUGUGGUAGUUUUGCCCAUUCAUUCUAAAAACAUAAGGACCACCGCCAUUGUUUAUUUCUGUGUCUACCUUUCCUCCCAUUGUCGUGAAAGCGAACAUGGAGUUGUACAAUCUGAUAUUUUGCAUGUAGUUUUUUGACCUCUUUCUGUUGUCUUUCCUUAGCAAUUUCGUAAGGUAAGCCGGCGGCUCUCUGAAUGGUGGCAAAUCGACCUUGCCCUGUUGGCAACAUAGUCCGAAAGAUGGCAUCCUUCUCGCUCUACCUGAAGUUCUUUCUUCGUACCAGAAAAUUGCACCACAUCGUUCACACUUGCAGCUUGGUUCUCCGAAGUUCCAAAUUUCCAUAUCAGUCCUUUCCGAUGUCCUGUUCAAGUUUCUGAAUUUAGCAUCAAAUUUUAUAUUAGUAAUGUAUGUUCUCGUUCAUACUAAUAAAACAAACUUAAUAGAGCUUACAUAUCUGGUGUUUUUUUGUUUCUCCUUGACUUUGAUGUAGUACACCUUUUGUUACUUUUAGUCCUGUACACGUGCAUACCAGAAAUAUCAGGUUCAUGAAUGUCCAAAUUUUAGAUGUUGACUGUAUUUUCUUGUUACUUACCUUGUAGUCUUACCAGCCUCGUCGAUCAUUACUUCAUUUUCUGUCGCUGGUUCUGCAACCCUCUUGCUUUGUAUUUUUCUUUUCCUAUACAAUCUUGCCUCUUUAGCUUUGUCCCUGCAUAAACAUAAAUGCCAUUUAGUAGAAAUAAGAGAUGGAAUUUCCGGCAUAAGCAAUACACAUCUGUACAGGACAUGGUUCCUUGUGGCAAUCCAACAAUGUUUUUUUGCCACAGUUUUUGUUUAACCAUAGUCCAUGGAUAUGUGCUAUCAUGAUUCUUUUGUUUAAAAAACAUACUUCGUAGCUACAGUCAGAACCAAUUGUAACAUGUUUUUGUGAUUUAAUAGAGCAAUUUAAAUUAGCUGCACCUGAAGAUAUGGAAAUGCAUGGGCGACCGGGCAUUAUAAGCAUUUGUUUACAGUAAAAUGUUUAAGAUCAAAUUUUACUACAUCAAAUCCACCGAGUUAAUGAAGGGAUUUUUGUAAGCUUUGGAAGAUUUGAGUACAUAGAUAGCAGAACUGAUGUGCAAAGCAGAAGCAAGCUAUAUAAUGUUGUUUCCAGUAUACUGUGGUAGCAGUCGUGCAUCAUUAAUGAUAAAGUUUAGCAAUUGAAUUCAGAGAAGUAAUUAAACCAAAUUGUUGAUAAUACACAUAAGGGCAAAACUCUGAAGAUUUGCUUACUUCACAUGGAUCAGAAGUUGUUCUUCUAGUAUAGUUGCACGGCCUGGCACUUCUCCAUUUAUGAUCGAAGUCUGUCUCAUUUUCUUUGCUUGAAGUUUGAUUCUCCUUUCUAAUCUUGCCAUUUUUGUUGAUUGUCUGAAUUCACAUCAAUGAGAUAAUAAAUUAAAAUAUCAUUUUCCCUGUCCAAGCUAAAAUUAAUUAUGAACCCACAUGUGCCUAACGGGAGUUGUUGCAUUUUUAGUUGUAACAUUCUUGUGAUACCACUAAUAAAAGAUUCAUGAUUAGUAAUGGAUCACCUUGUUGGAUUGCAUAUUUGAUUGGUCUUAACCAUCUUGGCAGGUUUCUCACAUUCCUUGCUAUGUGGCCCACCUUUUCUUUUCAUUGUUUCUUCCUGCACAAUAGAGUGCAAAUAUGAUGUUAAAGGGGAUGAUAUUAUAAUAUCAUUACGGACAGUGUCCGACCCAGAAACUGUGGUUUGCUGGGGCGAUGGACGGCAAGUCGGCAACAGAGAUUGAUGUCGAUGCACCCGCUGGUCGCUGGACAGGGGAUUACCCUGCUCCGCCACUUGAGACCUCGGUCGUCCGGCCCUACUUGCCCCAAUGGUGGGUCCACCAUUGAUUACAAAGUAGUGCACAAGUUUAUGAAGAAUUAUUAUUUUUAUUGCUUUUCACUUUAUAAAUAUUCGUUUUUUGUUUUAGAAGUAAAGGAGAUCAACUUUCAAGACCAGUGAUUGUGCUGAAAGCUUUAAUUUUGAAGAGGAUGUUAAGUUCCAAUCGUCGUGUGAAGACACGAAUAUUGUGAGUAUUUUUUAAUAAAAGGCAACUGAGGCAAUCUCUACCUGAUUAAUGAGGUACUUUUUGUAGACAGAAUUACUGAGGUACUCAGGCACAAUAUUAUGUGAACCAUUAUCUGUUCUACAAAUUGCAAGUGGAUACCAUACUGCACUGCUCUUUGCUUCUGAAUAAAACAUAUUCAUUACAUUGUUGCAAUUAGACUUCAGACCUAUGGAAGCUGUUCCACAUCCCCAAAUUUAUAGUAGAGGAACACGCUAGUCAAUUAAAGAAGGUUUAGUGAGGAAUAAGAUUGUAAUUGAGGAUGGCAAGUUCAUGGGCAAUAAGGAUCGAAAAAUCACAAGGGGUAAAAUGCACACAUCACAACAUAUUUUAAGGUGCUUCCUUACUUGCGCAAAUAUGAAUGACACUAUGAACUUUGUAUCAGAUAAACAAAUUAGGUUAACCUUUUGCUAUCAUGAUGCUAUACAUUAACUUGAAAGGAUAGUAUGGUAACAGGUGCUUAAGUGGCGGAAGGAGAUGGUGCUCAUGGGCCUAUUUAAUACUGUUGUGAAUAUAAUUAAGAAGUUCAUUCUUUUAGAAUAUUAUGUGAAUUGCCAUGUAGAAAUCAAGAAACUGGACUACAGGGUAGUAUUCCUGUAUUAAUUUAACAUCAUCUCCAUUUUUAGUUCAACCCUAAAUACCAGUUUCUUGUCAAAUUUUUAGCAGUUUCCUUUCAUUUUCUGCAACGCAUUGCUCUUUGACCUCAUAAAUAUCCUCUAAUGAUUCAUUUCCUGUCACCUCUGUAGAUAUCUACAUAUUCAAAGUUUGUCCUUUGUUACUUUUUCAAAUAUCACAUGACCUGAUAAGAUACAUAUCAGAUACAAAAAUUAAGUUAAUUUUCAGCUAUCAUGAUGCCAUGCAUUAACUUGAAAGGAUACUAUUAUGAUGAAAGGUGCUUAAGUAGUGCAAGAUGAGGUGUCUAGGGGCCUAUUUAAGACCUGUGAAUAUAAUGAAGAAGUUCAUCGACACUUUUUAUAUAGUAUAUUAUGUGAACCUCCAUGUAGAAGCCAAAGAAAUGGGGAUUCAGAGUACUAUUAAUUUAUUGUUAUUGUCUCAAUUUUUAUUUCAACCAUAGAUAUCAGCCUUUACCGUCGAAACUUUAGAGAUUUUCUUUUAUUUUCUACCGCACAUGCUAUUUGACCCCAUAUAUGUAUUCUCUAAUGAUUUAUUUUUUGGCCAUCUCAAUAGGUAUAUAUUCUUGUUGGACCGGGAAUGCCAAUUCUAGGAAUUGUAACAUUUGUGAUGGGCGGCUCAUUUUUUCUCAAUAUUUUCCGGUUAUCCUCAAUAUUUUAAUAAGAUGCUAUUAAUCAUAGAAUGAUCUGAAACUUCUGAUUUUUUGUACCUUCGAUGACAUCUUUUACCUAUGCUAAUCCCAUGCAGAGUGUAGAAUCACGUUAACUACUCAUAUAUUCUCCAUUCAUGGAAUCAAUAUGUACGCAUUGUGUGAAAAAAGUAUUCAAAUCUUUUCUUUGAUGGUGUUUAAGAGUUGGGUAACCAUAUAAUAUUAAAGUGGGCAAAAGUAUUAAGU